rnacentral:rRNA from 1 species
UGAGGAAUAUUGCACAAUGGGGGGAACCCUGAUGCAGCAACGCCGCGUGAGCGAAGAAGGCCUUCGGGUCGUAAAGCUCUUUUCUGUGGGAUGAGACCAGGACAGUACCACAGGAAUAAGUCUCGGCUAACUACGUGCCAGCAGCCGCGGUAAAACGUAGGAGGCGAGCGUUAUCCGGAUUCACUGGGCGUAAAGGGCAAGUAGGCGGUAGGCAAAGUUGGGCGUGACAAAUCUCGGCUUAACUGAGAGGGGUCGUUCAAAACUAGUCUACUGGAGGGCAGGAGAGGAAGGCGGAAUUCCGAGUGUAGCGGUGGAAUGCUCAGAUAUUCGGAAGAACACCAGUGGCGAAGGCGGCCUUCUGGCCUGCACCUGACGCUGAGAGGCGAAAGCUAGGGGAGCGAACGG